rnacentral:lncRNA from 1 species
ACUAAUGUUGCAAGCGAGGAAAGAGAGAUCACAGACCGGUGGAAGGGUGGGGCACGGGUGUGGAGUUGAUUUUGAAUAUUUGUUGGUGCCUGCUUCCCUGCCAGCCUGAUACUCAGCCCAACAUCUGGCCUCAGGAGCGGAGGAGGAACCCCGGAAGAGUGCGGGGGUCCCAGAGGAGCUUGGGAAGAGCCCCAGAGCCCUUUCUCAUUCUUCCUGAUCCUUUAUGCUAUGUCUUCAGUCCUCCUCCCACACAGUGGUGUGCCUGCUUCCUUUCCAAGGCCUGUCUGCUAUAGAGAUCUCCAACAGACUUAACUUUGAAGGUCAACUUGAUUAGAUGGAGAAGCCACCGAAGAGGGAAGAGAAGUACACUUCCAGGCGUGUCUGUGAGGAAAUUUAACCGAGUGAGCAAGAGCCUGUUGAAAAGUUCAUCUCAAGCUCCUGUCAGCAUCAACUAAUACCAGAUCUCAUCUGAGUGGCCACUAUGAGGUCAGAUUUUGAACUAAGGGCCUGAAGUUCAGCAAGAAGGAACCAAGCCGCCCUGUACUCACCUGUGGGAAGCCCAGCAGAGAGACAGGACAUCAGAGUGAGUUAAGAUUAAACCUCAUCAGCUGAUGGCCUGAAACCCAAGGGCCUCCCAUGGAAUCGUCAGUGUGGAUACGAACCCAGAAGGAGGCACGGAACACACAGAAGUUCUGGUUCCAAGAACAGCACUGUUCCACUAUUGUAGGAUGAGUCACUGGUGACUCCAUUAGA